UGGUGGAGUGAUUUGUCUGCUUAAUUGCGAUAACGAACGAGACCUUAACCUACUAAAUAGCCCGAUCAGCUUUUGCUGGUUGCUGGCUUCUUAGAGGGACUAUCGGCUCAAGCCGAUGGAAGUUUGAGGCAAUAACA
rnacentral:rRNA from 1 species